rnacentral:rRNA from 1 species
GACGAACGAUGGCGGCGUGCUUAACACAUGCAAGUCGAAAGAAGUGGCGAACGGGUGAGUAACGCGUAAUCAACCUGCCCUUCAGAGGGGGAUAACAGUUGGAAACGACUGCUAAUACCGCCUAACGACGGAGGGGAGUGCGUCGGAUGAGCUAGUUGGAGGGGUAACGGCCCACCAAGGCGAUGAUCAGUAGCCGGUCUGAGAGGAUGAACGGCCACAUUGGGACUGAGACACUGCCCAGACUCCUACGGGAGGCAGCAGUGGGGAAUCUUCCGCAAUGGACGAAAGUCUGACGGAGCAACGCCGCGUGAGUGAUGACGGCCUUCGGGUUGGAAAGCUCUGUUAAUCGGGACGCGGUACCGGAAUAGAAAGCCACGGCUAACUACGUGCCAGCAGCCGCGGUAAUUC